rnacentral:rRNA from 1 species
AAUCAGGUAGGACUACCC